AUUGAACGCUGGCGGCAUGCCUUACACAUGCAAGUCGAACGGUAACGGGCCUUCGGGUGCCGACGAGUGGCGAACGGGUGAGUAAUGUAUCGGAACGUACCUUUCAGUGGGGGAUAACGUAGCGAAAGUUACGCUAAUACCGCAUAUUCUGUGAGCAGGAAAGCAGGGGAUCGCAAGACCUUGCGCUGAUUGAGCGGCCGAUAUCAGAUUAGCUGGGUGGUGAGGUAAAGGCUCACCAAGGCGACGAUCUGUGGCGGGUCUGGGAGGAUGAUCCGCCACCAUGGAACGGAGACACGGGCCAGACUCCUACGGGAGGCAGCAGUGGGGAAUUUUGGACAAUGGGGGCAACCCUGAUCCAGCCAUGCCGCGUGAGUGAAGAAGGCCUUCGGGUUGUAAAGCUCUUUCGGCCGGGAAGAAAUCGUAUGGGUUAAUACCCUGUGCGGAUGACGGUACCGGCAUAAGAAGCACCGGCUAACUACGUGCCAGCCGCCGCAGUAAUAC
rnacentral:rRNA from 1 species